GACGAACGCUGGCGGCGUGCUUAACACAUGCAAGUCGAGCGGUAAGGCCCUUUCGGGGGUACACGAGCGGCGAACGGGUGAGUGACACGUGGGUGACCUGCCCUCAGCUCUGGGAUAAGCCUGGGAAACUGGGUCUAAUACCGGAUAUGACCUCCUAUCGCAUGGUGGGUGGUGGAAAGUUUUUUCGGCUGGGGAUGGGCCCGCGGCCUAUCAGCUUGUUGGUGGGGUGAUGGCCUACCAAGGCGACGACGGGUAGCCGGCCUGAGAGGGGGACCGGCCACACUGGGCAUGGGACACGGCCCAGACUCCUACGGGAGGCAGCAGUGGGGAAUAUUGCGCAAUGGGCGAAAGCCUGACGCAGUGACGCCGCGUGGGGGAUGACGGCCUUCGGGUUGUAAACCUCUUUCGACCUUGACGAAGGCCUUCGGGUUGACGGUAGGGGUAGAAGAAGCACCGGCCAACUACGUGCCAGCCGCCGCCGUAA
rnacentral:rRNA from 1 species